UCAUUGCUUUCUGUUGGCAUCCUCAAGUAUCACUGUGGACAAAGCGGGUGGAAGUUCUUUCCUCGGAGAAGCUGUCUUGGAGCUGAGAGAAGUGGAAAGGGACAUGAGAGACAGAGGGUUCCCUAAUGCAGACAAAUAGUGAGCAAUCCAGUAAGCAGUACCACUCCACGGCCUCUGCAUCAGCUCCUGCCUCCAGGUUCCUGCCUGCCUACAUUAAGGACAUCGGAAGAAGGAAGACUCAUUCUUUGACCACUUGCAC